GGGCGGCACUGAGGCUCAGACAGGACCAGAGAUCAUGGCGUUUAAAGGGGCCCCGAAGAUCCAGCGGAAAGAGAACUAUAACACAUCCCUGGAGAAGAGGGGAAUGGUGGAGACUGGUGAUGCUGAGUUAAGGCAGAACCGGUGCUGACUUCACUGCACCCCUCCCGCUUGCAGGCAACAAUGUGGGGGAAAGGAUGCAUGAGGUCCAGGACAGUGUGAAGGUGGACAUCAGCCUGGAAAGAAAGAAGAUAUCCGUUGAAUUGUCUCGGAAAAAAUCCUGGAAGGAGGAAAUAACCUGGAGCAAAGGUUCCAAGGCAGGAGCGAGCCAGAAAAGCAUGAGGAACCCAGUUUCGAAACCUGCCAUCACUGACUGAAGAUGGGUGCCAUGCCCAGGCACGCAGGCUGGCUCCUCCUGGGCUCAGGAGUGGAU